ACUCAUAACUUAUUUUAGGGCUUUGACUUGAAAUCAGAGUUUUUGUUUUUGAUGACAAUAUGGGUU
rnacentral:tRNA from 1 species